CCCGACCAAUUUUCCAUCUAUUAACUCAAAAUAUGAUUACAGCUUUUAAAUUUUGUGCGCGAGCCAUUUUUAGUUUGUUGGAAAAGACACACCCCCCUGGUUCACAAAAUUUGAGUUAGAGAUUUUUUUUUCAUUAUUUUACAUUAUAGGUACCCAAAGAAGCUAUAUAUAUAAAAAACCGGAUACAAAUAGGUGAUUUGCGAAAUUGAGAGCAAUUUCAAAUCUGUUCAUUAUACACCCUGUAUACCUGUUUGGAAAUAUGACGAGCCUGUAUAGAAAUUAGAUUUUUAAAUAAUUACACCACAAAAUUACAGAACUUAGGGACCGGUCAUUAUUUAUGGUGGGGGGUGGCACCAAAGAGAAAUGUUUUUCGUAGCAAAAAUUUUGCUGACCCAACCAUUAAAAAGUAAACAAAAUUGAUUACCCAACCUCAAAUAUCAAUUAAAAAAUAAAUACCCACCCCUGGCCAAAAAAUUUACAAAAGGUACUAUUCAGUUGUCACAUAUGUC